rnacentral:rRNA from 1 species
AUAAACUUGAGAGUUUGAUCAUGGCUCAGAAUGAACGCUGGCGGCAUGCCUAACACAUGCAAGUCGAACGAAGCCUUCGGGCUUAGUGGCGCACGGGUGCGUAACGCG